GAUAUCCAUAUAUUACCAAUGGAUCGAGAGUGGGAUUUGUUACUAAACGAACUGUUUGAGUUGUCGCAUCAUAAAGCCCAUCGAAAUACAUAGCUUUUGCUGCUAAUAAUAAAGCACCAAAUCCUAAGAAAAGUAGGUGAUGGCCUAAGAUAAUACCUAGCUUUUUUGGAUCAUCCCA
rnacentral:antisense_RNA from 20 species